CAGCAGCCGCGGGAAUACGUAGGGUGCGAGCGUUAAUCGGAAUUACUGGGCGUAAAGCGUGCGCAGGCGGUUGUGUAAGACAGGUGUGAAGUCCCCGGGCUUAACCUGGGAACUGCGCUUGUGACUGCACAGCUAGAGUAUGGCAGAGGGGGGUGGAAUUCCACGUGUAGCAGUGAAAUGCGUAGAGAUGUGGAGGAACAUCAGUGGCGAAGGCGGCCAUCUGGGACAACACUGACGCUGAGGCACGAAAGCGUGGGGAGCAAACAGGAUUAGAUACCCCCGUAGUCCCUGUCUCUUAUAC
rnacentral:rRNA from 1 species